UCGAUACACAUUAACAUGUUCUAGGUGCUGUGGAGAAAUCAACGAUGCCUCAUGUGACAGGAAUCUUGCCUUGGAGUUCACAGUCCAGUCCGGAGAGAUGACUAGAUAAUUACAUUACAAGAUAAGAAGUGCUACGUGCUCUAAGAAAAGGACUGAUAAGAGGCAAUGGGUGCUCCGAAAUGGGCAAGAGUUCACUCCCAAUUUGAAGAGAGGCCUCCAAGGAGGAGGGACUGUUAAGCCAGACCUUGAGAAAGUCUGGUGUGCAUUGGAGAGAUGUUUCAAGCAGGAGUGAUGCUGAAGUGGGAAAACCAACCACAAGCCCUCUGUUCAUGGAAGGCCUGCCCCAGAGCACCGUGUAGAAUGUGGCUUCUAGAGAGAGAUGGCUCAAUGGAAUGAACGAGGUUGUGAAAAGCUGUGAAGUGUGCAAGUCAUAGGCCUUGCCCUCCAGCCCAUCUCAACCUGUAUGGAAAGUGUCCCAGCUUUGUACGGCUUCAACAUUGUCUCGCACCUGCUUUCAGCAAGGCCAGCACUGGGAGGAGGUAAGUGAGGCAUCCCCUUGUGUGUAAAAUUUAAGAGGUGCCAAAAAUCUCAGUAACCAUGACAAAUAACAUUUUUAAAACUCAAAAUGAAUGCAAAAAUGGUCCAUGAUGAACAAAAUAUCAACUUGAUCUUGUACUUGCUUGACCUUGAAAACGAGCACUUCAUUUACCUGACCCCGGUCGUCUCAGCUCUGCCCAAACUCAUUCUCAUUUUGGAGGUUUCAUAUUUGCUAUUCUGUCUGCCUGGAAUAUUCCUUCCAGAUCUGUGCGCAGUUGGCUCCUUCUCAUUGUUUAGGUUUCUGCUCUAAUGUUAUCUUCUCAGAAAAGCCUAUUGUUCUCUGACUUCACUCUCCAAAAAUCACCAUUCCCUAUGCCCCCACCCUUGAACAGUUCUAUUGCUCUCUAUUCUAUUACUGUUUUAAUUUUUC